rnacentral:rRNA from 1 species
CGUAUGGACCGAGCGUUGUCCGGAAUCAUUGGGCGUAAAGGGUACGUAGGCGGCCUAGUAAGUUAGAAGUGAAAUAAUAUAGCUCAACUAUAUAAGCUUUAAACUGUUAGGCUUGAGAGAUGAAAGGGAAAGUGGAAUUCCUAGUGUAGCGGUGAAAUGCGCAGAUAUUAGGAAGAAUACCGGUGGCGAAGGCGACUUUCUGGUCAUCAUCUGACGCUGAGGUACGAAAGCGUGGUAGCAAACAGGAUU